CGAACCUGGGCCAUCAGAUCACUCCCCGACCUGAGGAGCAAGGCGUCUGGAAAACAGCUGCGACUGUAGAUGAAAGGAGACAGAGACUUCUGUGAAUGAUCUGCCCAGCGUCAUGGCCGCGGGCUGGUCACAAGGGGGCCGCCCCCUGGCCCCUCCCCUCUCGACGUGCGGCCCCCAACCCCGGAUUCUGCCCUCCUGCAGUGAUGAAUGGCACCGCUGUCCCGCGCAGGCAGGCAAACCUCUUCCUGAAACAGACUCUGCUGGAGGCAACAGCAGCAACAGAUUCUACAGAAAGCCCCUGAAAUGGAGGCUCAGGCCUCACCUAGCUCCAGGCCCGCACUCCACAGAAAAAAAGAUUCACCCGGCGUGGGGGUGGGGGCUUCCAGAGAUGGCAACCCUCUGGCAGGAAUCCCUCAGGAUCCUGUCAGAGCCUGGUCUCUGGGAGUUGACGGAGGGAGGGAGGGAGAGAGAGAGAGAGAAAGAGAGAGAGAUUAUCCCAGAAUGUGCAGGGGAGGAAGCAUAAGCAAGGGCUCAGGCUCAGAGAGACCUGAGCCCAGGCACAUGCUUGCUGUGUGACCUCGGAUAAAACACUUAACUUCUCUGAGCCUUAGUUGUGUCAAUUUUUAAAGAGAAAUUGAAAUAAUAACCCUAGCCCAAUGUGAACACUGAGUCAUAGUAUAUAUCAAGUAAAAGACCUUUUUGGCGAGCUUUAUCUGUCACACCUCUUUUUUCAGUCCGCUCCUGAAAAUCAGCAUAGAGAACAACUCCUGAUGCAGAGUAGAGGAGAAGAGAAUGCCUUUCUCUUUCAAAGCUCUCUCAAAGUUAUGGCUCAGUUCACCCGAUCAUCCAUCCUAGGCAGUCCAUAUACAGGAGCAUGUAUUCAACAAAGAUGCCAUAGGUGCAUUAUAGCGCUAGAUUGUGCUGGGAGAAGCACAAGAUACAACUGUUUGUGUCCUGAAGUCCAUACGCCAGGAGACUUUUCCUUUUCUUUGACAGAUCCGGCAUCCAAGGCGACAACCCGGAGGAAAGCUAUCUCCAGGGCUUGUUGCCCUUCCGGUCCAAUCCCAAGAAAAUUACGGUUUAUUACAGCGGAUGUUUAAUGCUACAUUUAAUCUCUCUGAGAAAGUCACACACCUCCCCUCAAAACCUCACGAUUAGGAUUCAGCUCUCUUAACUUGGCAGUGGCAUCUAGUGGAUACCUCCGCACAAUGGAUAUCACUGAUUUUGUGACUUGGUUUAGAUUCGACCAUAUCUCAGUCACAUACUAGCACCCGGAGGGAAAGUGCUUUGGAAUUAUAGACUGGCUUGUGCAGGAAAACGUGCUUUUUCUCCCCUAGGGAAGGGCAUUUUCUCAGCCACAGCUAAGCAAAGAGUUGCUCCACUCUGGGUUAGCAGCCCUAGAAGGAAAUGCUGAGUCAGUCAUUUGCUAGCUGUGCCACCUGUGGCUUGGAUCCCAGCUGCUCUGAGACAGCCCUGCACCCUUUAUGCAGGCAGGGAGGCAGGGCACAAUUUAUAAAUACUUCUGUCUUCUGAGCCUUCGCUUUCUCCUGUGCAAAAUCAGAAUCAUGAGAAUGCCAGCCCUACCUAGAUUGGUUUAUUCAGCAGAUAUGUAAAGAGCACCUACUGCUGCACUGGGCACUAUGAAUAUACAGCCAAACAAAACUGGGCACAAAAGCAAGUAAGCCAGAGUCCCUGCCUGAGGUCCACAUCGGGAAAUGCAUAGGAAUGUGCUGUGAAGAUUAAUGUUAGUUAAUAAAGGCCUAAAAACCA
rnacentral:lncRNA from 1 species